rnacentral:rRNA from 1 species
AUGCACGCUGGCGGCGUGCCUCAUACAUGCAAGUCGCGCGAACAGACGAGGAGCUUGCUCCUCUGACGUUAGCGGCGGACGGGUGAGUAACACGUGGAUAACCUACCUAUAAGACUGGGAUAACUUCGGGAAACCGGAGCUAAUACCGGAUAAUAUAUUGAACCGCAUGGGUCCAUAGUGAAAGACGGUUUUGCUGUCACUUAUAGAUGGAUCCGCGCCGCAUUAGCUAGUUGGUAAGGUAACGGCUUACCAAGGCAACGAUGCGUAGCCGACCUGAGAGGGUGAUCGGCCACACUGGAACUGAGACACGGUCCAGACUCCUACGGGAGGCAGCAGUAGGGAAUCUUCCGCAAUGGGCGAAAGCCUGACGGAGCAACGCCGCGUGAGUGAUGAAGGUCUUCGGAUCGUAAAACUCUGUUAUUAGGGAAGAACAAAUGUGUAAGUAACUAUGCACGUCUUGACGGUACCUAAUCAGAAAGCCACGGCUAACUACGUG